GUGGGGAAUUUUGGACAAUGGGCGCAAGCCUGAUCCAGCAAUGCCGCGUGCAGGAUGAAGGCCUUCGGGUUGUAAACUGCUUUUGUACGGAACGAAACGGCGAACUCUAAUACAGUUUGCUAAUGACGGUACCGUAAGAAUAAGCACCGGCUAACUACGUGCCAGCAGCCGCGGUAAUACGUAGGGUGCGAGCGUUAAUCGGAAUUACUGGGCGUAAAGCGUGCGCAGGCGGUUUUGUAAGACAGAUGUGAAAUCCCCGGGCUCAACCUGGGACCUGCAUUUGUGACUGCAAGGCUGGAGUACGGCAGAGGGGGAUGGAAUUCCGCGUGUAGCAGUGAAAUGCGUAGAUAUGCGGAGGAACACCGAUGGCGAAGGCAAUCCCCUGGGCCUGUACUGACGCUCAUGCACGAAAGCGUGGGGAGCAAACAGGAUUAGAAACCCGAGUAGUCC
rnacentral:rRNA from 1 species